CUCCGCGGCAUGUGGGAUCCUCCCAGACCGGGGCACGAACCGGCGUCCCCUGCAUCGGCAGGCGGACUCCCAACCACUGCGCCACCAGGGAAGCCCUCUAACAGACAUUUUGAUGAACAAGCCAUCAAGCAUUUAUCAGCUGCUGCUUCCUGCUGUACUUUGCACUAGAGAUCAUGAGCUGAGCCCUGUGCCUUGCAAAGUGCAUGGUCCAGUCACACCAGAUCAAUUUCAUCCCUUCAACAUGCCAGAGAAUACCGGCUAAAGUCGCCCAGAGUGUUAAAGCAGCAAGCGGAAUAAUCGAGCAUAGGUGCUGAGGUCAGAUAACCUAAACUGUCACUCCGUUCCACCGUAGCAGUUCACCCAAGCUCCUUGACUUGCGUUCCUUCUCUGUAAAACGAGAUAAGUACCUUCUACCUUGCUCAUGGGGUUGUUGGGAGUAUCAGACAAAGAAUUUUGCUCGUACUAAUAAGCAUAAUUAUCAUAAAGAUUAUCAUAAGCAAAAUAAGAUAUCUAGAUUAUCUUAAGAAUACAGUAGAUUCUGAAAGACUCUAACUAGAUUCUGAAAAUAGCUCCUUUUGUAAAAUUUAGCUCUUGAUUAAUUGCACACGUGUCCGUUCAGCAAGCACUGAACAUGUGCUGAAACCAGUCCUGGAGGCUGGGGAUGCAGACAGGUCCAGUCUCCAUCCUCUCAUCUUUCAUAGGAAGAUCUGAGAUUCUAUUGCUGCGUAGAUUCACUCAGUUCCGUUUUUUUAUUACUGAAACUCACCACUUUUAGGCACUACAAUUACUUCCAAUUUAAAAUAAGGGAACUAAAAAUCAGAAAACUGCAAUGCAUAUCAUGGUUACAGGUCUUCUGACAUUCUUUGGGCAUUUGCUGAUUACCGGGCCCUCAGCAAAGCCCUUUUCACUCGCUGCCUCAAAAUCGCCAUGUGAAAGAGAGGAACUCUCAUUAUAUCUGUUUCAGAUAUGAAAAGUAAGGCUGCCAGAUGAUCUUGAGCGUUCCUAAAAGCUGCACAGCCGGUACAUGUCAAUACUAAGAUUCACCUGAACCAGCUUCAACCUAGGAGCCUGUCUUCUAAUUUAAAACCCAGUGGAUCUUGUCAGACUAGCUGGAGGCUGCUUUUAAGAGACCAAACUAUUCCCUCUUCCUGGUAGGGCCGCUGUCUGUUUUAAAGGCAUCAUCUGCCUAUGACAUUGAUUCUAAAAUCUCUUCUGGAUCUUUAGGUCUGUGAGCUUCUCUAAAAAGAAUUGUGGUCUGAAGGAAAGCAGUGUCUCAUCCUUUACAGAAAUCAGAAAGGUGAACACCUUGCAUAAAUGAAGGCAUGCAGCUCGUGCUGGGUCAUCUAUACUGUAGACCAGUGGUUCUCAAACUUUACAAAUCAUCAGAAGCACCCGAUGACCUCUUCAAACCACUCCAAGUGUUUCUGACUCAGAAAGUCACUGCCUGGACCACCUAAAUGCAUUUCUAACACAAGCCCAGAAUGCAGGGAAUUUAGUCUAAUUCUUCAUGCCUUCCCGUAGGAAUUAUCGAGUGUCAGCUACCAUAGAGACUCUGCAAGUCGCUUUGUAUAAAAACUGUUUGCAGCAAUUCAGAGGACUGUGUAAUUGAGUUAACAAGUUGCAGGAAAUGCAUUUACAUCCUGGACUGGACCCGACGACCUGUCCAUGAGAAGAAAAACAGUUGAAAUAGAAGAUGAUCAAACAAAAGUUGCAGUCACUUAACCAGACAACUAAUACAUCUCCAGGUCACUGUUUGAGACAAGGGGUUUCAUUUUUAAGAAGGAGUUCACGGGAGGCCAAAGGCUAAAACCCACCUUGGAUGCUGUACCUGUUCACUAUUUAUUCGUGAGACCCAAAGCCUUGCAGGAGUC